GGGCUAUAGCUCAGUUGGUAGAGCAACUCGUUUACACCGAGAAGGUC
rnacentral:tRNA from 1 species